CAGAUUGAUGUAUCACUGCUGAGUGCAAGUUUAUGUAAUGUACCAACAAAUGUCAUUAUAGUAGCAGCAGCCGAAAUAGCAUUAUUUAUUGCAUUAGCGCCUGAGGGUGAAUUGAAUUAUCCUGACUGGCAAUUUUAUAGAGGGUGUUUACCAAAAAAGUGUUUCAAAGGGAGAGACAUAGAGUUGGCUGCGAUUGAAAAAACUCGAAAGAAGCUGAUAAAACUGGCACUGCUCUCAAGUAACCCUACCACGGAUUAUAUAUCGGUUUAUAAAAAGUAUAAGCGUUCAAGAUACGGACAUAUAUCAGAAAUUGUCAUUGGAAGAUUGUUAAAAAUUUCGCACCAUGAUUAUGAUUAGAACGUGUUAUCUAUUUAUAGAGAAUUUGGUCGUAAUCGAUUUUAAAUGUACGAAGAAUUGAAUGAUUUUAUUUUUACGUUAUUACUUAGCGACAUUCAUUUCGUUGUAUUUAUUAUUUAAUAGCGACUCUUUGAGAUUAAACGGUUGUUUUUCUUUAUAAAAUCCUCUUCACUACGAAUUUUAGUUGCAGAAAAAAAUAAUUUUUAUGUUGUAUAUUCUUAAUUAUGUAAUCGACAAUGAGGAUGUUUUUCUUUUGAAUAACAAUUUUAAGUGAUUGGAUUAAUAAAUUAUUAUUUCUAUUGUCA